rnacentral:rRNA from 1 species
CCUACGGGUGGCAGCAGUGGGGAAUUUUGGACAAUGGGCGCAAGCCUGAUCCAGCCAUGCCGCGUGUCUGAAGAAGGCCUUCGGGUUGUAAAGGACUUUUGUUAGGGAAGAAAAGGAAGCGGUUAAUACCCGUUUCUGCUGACGGUACCUAAAGAAUAAGCACCGGCUAACUACGUGCCAGCAGCCGCGGUAAUACGUAGGGUGCAAGCGUUAAUCGGAAUUACUGGGCGUAAAGCGAGCGCAGACGGUUACUUAAGCAGGAUGUGAAAUCCCCGGGCUCAACCUGGGAACUGCGUUCUGAACUGGGUGACUAGAGUGUGUCAGAGGGAGGUAGAAUUCCACGUGUAGCAGUGAAAUGCGUAGAGAUGUGGAGGAAUACCGAUGGCGAAGGCAGCCUCCUGGGAUAACACUGACGUUCAUGCUCGAAAGCGUGGGUAGCAAACAGGAUUAGAUACCCGAGUAGUC